rnacentral:misc_RNA from 1 species
UCUCCGCUGGUGAACCAGCGGAGGGAUCAUUACCGAGUUCCAGCAACUCCCAACCCUUGCGAACCGUACCCCAGUCUGUUCUCGUUGCUUCCGGCAGGCGGGGGGGGCCACCUGGCCCCUCCCCCUGCCGGGGGCGGCGGGCCCUCUGAACCUUUGUAUCUCAACCACUGAAACCCGUCUGAGCAAAACAAAAAAUAAUCAAAACUUUCAACAACGGAUCUCUUGGCUCUG